rnacentral:rRNA from 1 species
CAUGGAGGAAACUCUGAUGCUUCAGAUGCCGCGUGAGUGAAGAAGCCUUUGGGUUGUAAAGCUCUUUUGUAGGGGAAGAUAAUGACUGUACCCUAAGAAUAAGGUCCGGCUAACUUCGUGCCAGCAGCCGCGGUAAUACGAAGGGACCUAGCGUAGUUCGGAAUUACUGGGCGUAAAGCGCGCGUAGGCCGUUGAGUUAGUUAAUUGUGAAAUCCCAAAGCUUAACUUUGGAACUGCAAUUAAAACUGCUCGACUAGAGUUUGAUAGAGGAAAGCGGAAUACAUAGUGUAGAGGUGAAAUUCGUAGAUAUUAUGUAGAACACCAGUUGCGAAGGCGGCUUUCUGGGUCAACACUGACGCUGAGGCGCGAAAGUAUGGGUAGCAAAGAGGAUUAGAUACCCUCGUAGUCCAUACCAUAAACGAUGAUUGCUAGAUGUUGGAAAUUUAUUUUCAGUAUCGCAGCUAACGCAUUAAGCAAUCCGCCUGGGGAGUACGACCGCAAGGUUAAAACUCAAAUGAAUUGACGGGGACCCGCACAAGCGGUGGAGCAUGUGGUUUAAUUCGAAGAUACGCGCAGAANCUUACCAACCCUUGACAUGUCUGUCGCGAGUUUAGGAAACUAGACUUUUCG